UACGGGGGGGGCAAGCGUUGUUCGGAAUUACUGGGCGUAAAGGGCUCGUAGGCGGCCAACUAAGUCAGACGUGAAAUCCCUCGGCUUAACCGGGGAACGGCCUCUGAUACUGGAUGGCUUGAGUUUGGGAGAGGGAUGCGGAAUUCCAGGUGUAGCGGUGAAAUGCGUAGAUAUCUGGAGGAACACCGGUGGCGAAGGCGGCAUCCUGGACCAACACUGACGCUGAGGAGCGAAAGCCAGGGGAGCAAACGGG
rnacentral:rRNA from 1 species